rnacentral:rRNA from 1 species
CCUACGGGGGGCAGCAGUCGAGAAUCAUUCACAAUGGGGGAAACCCUGAUGGUGCGACGCCGCGUGGGGGAAUGAAGGUCUUCGGAUUGUAAACCCCUGUCAUGUGGGAGCAAAUUAAAAAGAUAGUACCACAAGAGGAAGAGACGGCUAACUCUGUGCCAGCAGCCGCGGUAAUACAGAGGUCUCAAGCGUUGUUCGGAAUCACUGGGCGUAACGCGUGCGUAGGCUGUUUCGUAAGUCGUGUGUGAAAGGCGCGGGCUCAACCCGCGGACGGCACAUGAUACUGCGAGACUAGAGUAAUGGAGGGGGAACCGGAAUUCUCGGUGUAGCAGUGAAAUGCGUAGAUAUCGAGAGGAACACUCGUGGCGAAGGCGGGUUCCUGGACAUUAACUGACGCUGAGGCACGAAGGCCAGGGGAGCGAAAGGGAUUAGAUACCCUAGUAGUC